rnacentral:rRNA from 1 species
GAUGAACGCUAGCGGCAGGCCUAAUACAUGCAAGUCGGACGGGAUUGAGCUUUCGGGCUCAUGAGAGUGGCGCACGGGUGCGUAACACGUAUGUAACCUACCUUUAUCAGGGGGAUAGCCUCUCGAAAGAGAGAUUAACACCGCAUAACAUCACGAGGCAGCAUUGUUUUGUGAUCAAAUAUUUUUAGGAUAAAGAUGGGCAUGCGGGACAUUAGCUAGUUGGCGGGGUAACGGCCCACCAAGGCGACGAUGUCUAGGGGAUCUGAGAGGAUGACCCCCCCCACUGGUACUGCGACACGGACCAGACUCCUACGGGAGGCAGCAGUAAGGAAUAUUGGUCAAUGGGCGCAAGCCUGAACCAGCCAUGCCGCGUGCAGGAAGACGGCCCUAUGGGUUGUAAACUGCUUUUGUACCGGAAUAAACCUUGAUACGUGUAUCAAGCUGAAUGUACGGUAAGAAUAAGGAUCGGCUAACUCCGUGCCAGCCGCCGCCGUAA